GCUGUUAAAGCAGUUGUACCAAGUACAAUCAAAGGAAAUUGAAAAAGAAAAUGAACUUGCCAAGAUUGUUAUAUUAAAAACAAGAGUCUAUACUACAAAAAUGGGAACCUACUUGCUCUGCAUUCGGUUAUGUAGUGCCCAAUAAGACCACACUUCUGACAUCUGCCUAUUGAAAUUGAAAAAAUUGUAAUUCUUACAACAAAGUAUUUAACAAAUUAUGAUAUUAUGUACCAUACCAUGAAAUUUGUUUGUUCUAUCUUUAAUGUAACAAAGGUAAUACAAUGUUAAAAUAUUAUUAAUCAAGUAAGGUCAUAAAAAAUUUUUAUAUUUCAAAACAUUUUAAACAUAUUCUGUAGAAAAAGAUUAAAGUCAUACUUUUGGAUGGACCACCACCAGUCCCCACCACACUUGUAGUACUUUUUUCUUCAUAUGCUGCAAUUGGAAAAUAUUGUCUAUUAAAAUAGAAGUUAUUGCUACAAAGUCUUUAAUGAAUUGCAAUAAAUUACACCAUACCAUUAAAUUUGUUUCUUCUAUCUGUAAAAUAAUAAAGUAUUACAAUAAUGUAAAUCAAGUAAGGUUAAAAAUAUUCUGUAUAAAAAGA